rnacentral:tRNA from 1 species
GGGACGGUGGUGAAAUCGGUAAUCACUCCUCACUCAUAUUGAGGCUGUUGGGGGUUCAAAUCCCUCCCGUCCUACC